rnacentral:rRNA from 1 species
UACGUAGGGUGCGAGCGUUGUCCGGAAUUAUUGGGCGUAAAGAGCUCGUAGGCGGUCUGUCGCGUCGAUCGUGAAAACUCCGGGCUCAACUCGGAGACGCCACUCGAUACUGCUAUGACUCGAGUCGGGUAGGGGACUGGCGGAAUUCCUGGUGUAGCGGUAGAAAUGCGCAGAUAUCAGGAGGAACACCGGUGGCGAAGGCGGCACUCUGGGCCGGAACUGACGCUGAGGAGCGAAAGCGUGGGGAGCGAACAGG